rnacentral:rRNA from 1 species
UUGCUCGGAAUCCCUGGGCGUAAAGCGCACGUAGGCGGACUCUUACGUCGGGGGUGAAAUCCUGGAGCUCAACUCCAGAACUGCCUUCGAUACUGGGAGUCUUGAGUUCGGGAGAGGUGAGUGGAACUGCGAGUGUAGAGGUGAAAUUCGUAGAUAUUCGCAAGAACACCAGUGGCGAAGGCGGCUCACUGGCCCGAUACUGACGCUGAGGCGCGAAAGCGUGGGGAGCAAACAGG